UACGUGCAUUCGAUGGACUCCAUCUCUAAGUAAGAGAUACAUAUUCCUAAAUCUCUAAUACCCUAGCCUACUAUAAAAUAGAUUUCAUCCUUAAAACCCUAAUGUAGUAUAGAACCCGAUAAGCCGAUGUGGUGCCUGCAACACAGUUUUAUUCACAUCACCAUUGUUUAACCAUUUCAUCUCAAUGGCAACUCGUUUUGGAGCGUCUUCUUUUUCGAGGACCGCGAGGACUGCAUUCAAUUCAUUCAGAAAUUCUUCUUCUUCGGCAUCACAGACAAGCAGAACCCCUCGCAGAGUGAAAAAUAUGUUUGAAAAUGGCAGUCCGAGUAUGAACAGGAGAAGGCUUGCGGAAACAAUGAUUCCUCUUCACAAUGCGGCCGCGUGUGCAAAGCUGGUGACUCACCUGAGUGCCAGCUCCCGCAGUUGCCGCGCGCUCGCUAGCGGUACCCUCUGCUGGUUUAGCCACCUGGUGAACUAUACCUUGGGAAUCAAGAAGGUGGUAAUGACAACUAAUGUUGAAGGAUCGAUACAGUCUGUUAUUGCGAAUGGGCAGGGUAUUAGUUGUGAUAACAGCUGGGUGGAGACCAUCUCUCCCAAACCAUUUCCCAUAAUUACUGAAAAGAUAUACCUGCAAUAGAAAUCAUGAAGAUGGCAGUGCAGAAGUCUGUCCAACUUUGCACAAGUUGCUCUUGUUGGAGGAUUGCAAAAAGUCGAAAUCCAGGAGUUUUAUUAUCAUCAACUUUGUUUUCUCCACACUGACCUGAAGUAUGGAUGCUCUGAAAAGCAUCUAUUAGGUCUGAGAUAUUGAAUAGGGUUAAUUUUAUGACAAUUUGUCCAGUUAGAAUAACUCCCUUUGUCUUCUAUCCAACACGUGUUGUGUUUGCAUGCUUAUUAUUCCUAAAACCUCUGAACGUGAAAUGGGAAUUCUGAAGUUCAGGAAAGGUUAGGUAAUCUAUCCUUGCUACUGUGAAUGAGAUGAUUAAAAUUAAUUUAUUUUAAAAUUAUUGUUGGCUA